rnacentral:lncRNA from 1 species
CGCGCAUUGCGGCGGAAUGAUACUAUAGAAUAUAAAAUAUAAAUAACAUAAAAGUUUUAAAUUUUUUGAUUUGAUAUGGGACUUCAAUAAACACAAGUAUAAAAUAUAAAAUAGAUAUAGGUAUAGAUAUAAUAAAAUUUAUAAUUUCGAUAAAUAAAUCACACAUAAUAAUAAUAAAAUAAGCAAUAAAAUUUUUUUUACCCCAUACACAUCUUCAUUGCACUAUCGACAUCGGAGAGACAAAUUCCGAUCUUUACAUCGCCUUCGCCGCUAGUGUCCAGCUCCUCUUUAGUCACGACCAUAUCAAUCCCGUAUCCACAUCCACUGCUUCUUCUCUCUCACUGACUCCAAAUCCAUCACCAUUUUCUUCUGCAGCGCUCCGUCGCGAUCCUCGAAACCCUAAUUUCAAUCUACACACAACAAAAAAUUUUAAAAAGUUACAAAACAUGAGCCAUUUUUGUGCGCCAAGAAAAAAAGAAACAAAAAAGAUAUGAAGAAAUGGAGAUUAAACCAUGAAAACAUAUUAAUUGAGAGAUAAGGGGGAGAAAAAAAAUAAUAUAAAAAAAAAGAUAUGAAGAAAUGGAGAUGAAACCAUGUAAACAUAUUAAUUGAGAGAUAGGGGGGGUUAGGAAGAUGAAGCAUUGAGUAGAAAUGGUAUUAUGUAAACACAUUAAUUGAGUGGGGGUUUAGGAAGAUGAAACAUUGUAUGAAACCAUAUAAACAUAUUAAUUGAGAGAUAGGGGGGUUAGGAAGAUGAAGCAUUGGAUGGAGAUGGUAUUAUGUAAACAUAUUAAUUGAGUGGAGGUUUAGGAAGAUGAAACAUUGGGUGAAAAUGAGAGUGGAAAGAGAGAAGAGAAAAGAGUGAAGGAGAAUUAGCCACGUGGCAAAAAAUUAGGAGAAAUAAUGUAUAGGUAUAGAUGUGUGUAUGUUUGUGAAAUUAAUGCGCAUGUUUAUCAUUUUUUUUUUUUUUUGGAGAAUGUUUUACUGUCGGUUACAGUUACAGCGUACGUACGUAGACGCCCCUCGCAUGUAAUUAAAGAGGAUAUAUCAUGCACGGUUUAUUUAUUAAGCUUGGGCAUUAGAGUCGUUACUAAAUUUAUUUGCCUAUAUUACUCUCUCUCUCUCUCUCUCUCUCUCUCUCUCUCUCUCUCUCUCUCUCUAUAUAUAUAUNUUUGUACUUGUAGGUUUUUAACCGUUAGAUCAGUACUGUUAAUCAUUUACACCCGUUAGAUUAUACUAUUUAACCAACCACCCACUCAACCCUAGGGGACCCACAUCAUCCUAACCAUAUAUUUUUUAAUCUAAAGGCUAAAAACUUACAAGCACUAAUGGCUUGGUACUUUUAAAAGUAUAGAAGCUCAAUUAUAUAUAUAUAUAUAUUCUGAUCACACUCUCUGCUUGUUUCUUUAUUUACUGACCCACUAUUUAUCUCAGUAGAGGAAGAGAUAAAAACAAUAGUAAAAGAUUAUUAUAUAUUGGAAAAACUUCAAAUAAUACUGAUGUGAUUUUUUUUUUUUACUUUAGUAUCGUGUGGUUUAAACUUUAAAGUGUAUCACUUUCAUACUCUGUGAUUUUAUUUUUCUCUUUUUAUUAUCUCAUCAAUCAAUUUUUCUUACUAAAUCAGUGAUAAAAUUAAAAUUAAAAAGUACUAAAAUACAUAUUCGAUAAACUAUAGGUGGAUAUUUAAAAAGAGAAAAAUAGAACCACAAGAUACUAAAUUGAUAUACUUUAAAUUAUAGAAUAUUAAAAUGAGAAAGUGUGAAAUCAUAAGGAUGGUAUUUAAAGCUUAUCCUUAUAUAUAUAUAUAUAUAUAU